CUGGUUGAUCCUGCCAGUAGUCAUAUGCUUGUCUCAAAGAUUAAGCCAUGCAUGUCUAAGUACAAGCCUGAAUAAGGUGAAACCGCGAAUGGCUCAUUAAAUCACACCUAAUGUACCGGAUAGUUCCAAUUACUUGGAUAACUGCGGUAAUUCUGGAGCUAAUACAUGCUUAAAGGCCUCGACUCAAGGAGGGGCGCAUUUAUUAGAUCAAAACCAAACCGCUUGCGGUUUUAUUGGUGAAUCUGAAUAACUCUAUGCUGAUCGUAUGGCUCAACGCCGACGACGUAUCCGUCCAAGGUGUGCCCUAUCAACUGUCGACUGUGGCAUAGACGCCCACAGUGGUUUUGACGGGUAACGGGGAAUUAGGGUUCGAUUCCGGAGAGGGAGCCUGAGAAACGGCUACCACUUCUAAGGAAGGCAGCAGGCACGCAAAUUACCCAAUGGUCGAAGACCGAGGUAGUGACGAAAAAUAACGAUACCGGUCUCUUCCGAGGCCCGGUAAUCGGAAUGAGUACACUUUAAAUCCUUUAACGAGGAACAAUUGGAGGGCAAGUCUGG
rnacentral:rRNA from 1 species